GGGAAGGCCCAGACAGCCAGGAUGUUGGCUUAGAAGCAGCCAUCAUUUAAAGAAAGCGUAAUAGCUCACUGGUCGAGUCGGCCUGCGCGGAAGAUGUAACGGGGCUAAACCAUGCACCGAAGCUGCGGCAGCGACACUCAGGUGUUGUUGGGUAGGGGAGCGUUCUGUAAGCCUGCGAAGGUGGCCUGUGAGGGUUGCUGGAGGUAUCAGAAGUGCGAAUGCUGACAUAAGUAACGAUAAAGCGGGUGAAAAGCCCGCUCGCCGGAAGACCAAGGGUUCCUGUCCAACGUUAAUCGGGGCAGGGUGAGUCGACCCCUAAGGCGAGGCCGAAAGGCGUAGUCGAUGGGAAACGGGUUAAUAUUCCCGUACUUGGUGUUACUGCGAAGGGGGGACGGAGAAGGCUAUGUUGGCCGGGCGACGGUUGUCCCGGUUUAAGCGUGUAGGUGUGUGUUCCAGGUAAAUCCGGUUCACUUUAACACUGAGGCGUGACGACGAGGCACUACGGUGCUGAAGCAACAAAUGCCCUGCUUCCAGGAAAAGCCUCUAAGCAUCAGGUAACAUCAAAUCGUACCCCAAACCGACACAGGUGGUCAGGUAGAGAAUACCAAGGCGCUUGAGAGAACUCGGGUGAAGGAACUAGGCAAAAUGGUGCCGUAACUUCGGGAGAAGGCACGCUGACACGUAGGUGAAGUGAUUUACUCAUGGAGCUGAAGUCAGUCGAAGAUACCAGCUGGCUGCAACUGUUUAUUAAAAACACAGCACUGUGCAAACACGAAAGUGGACGUAUACGGUGUGACGCCUGCCCGGUGCCGGAAGGUUAAUUGAUGGGGUCAGCGCAAGCGAAGCUCCUGAUCGAAGCCCCGGUAAACGGCGGCCGUAACUAUAACGGUCCUAAGGUAGCGAAAUUCCUUGUCGGGUAAGUUCCGACCUGCACGAAUGGCGUAAUGAUGGCCAGGCUGUCUCCACCCGAGACUCAGUGAAAUUGAACUCGCUGUGAAGAUGCAGUGUACCCGCGGCAAGACGGAAAGACCCCGUGAACCUUUACUAUAGCUUGACACUGAACAUUGAGCCUUGAUGUGUAGGAUAGGUGGGAGGCUUUGAAGUGUGGACGCCAGUCUGCAUGGAGCCGACCUUGAAAUACCACCCUUUAAUGUUUGAUGUUCUAACGUGGACCCGUAAUCCGGGUUGCGGACAGUGUCUGGUGGGUAGUUUGACUGGGGCGGUCUCCUCCUAAAGAGUAACGGAGGAGCACGAAGGUUGGCUAAUCCUGGUCGGACAUCAGGAGGUUAGUGCAAUGGCAUAAGCCAGCUUGACUGCGAGCGUGACGGCGCGAGCAGGUGCGAAAGCAGGUCAUAGUGAUCCGGUGGUUCUGAAUGGAAGGGCCAUCGCUCAACGGAUAAAAGGUACUCCGGGGAUAACAGGCUGAUACCGCCCAAGAGUUCAUAUCGACGGCGGUGUUUGGCACCUCGAUGUCGGCUCAUCACAUCCUGGGGCUGAAGUAGGUCCCAAGGGUAUGGCUGUUCGCCAUUUAAAGUGGUACGCGAGCUGGGUUUAGAACGUCGUGAGACAGUUCGGUCCCUAUCUGCCGUGGGCGCUGGAGAACUGAGGGGGGCUGCUCCUAGUACGAGAGGACCGGAGUGGACGCAUCACUGGUGUUCGGGUUGUCAUGCCAAUGGCACUGCCCGGUAGCUAAAUGCGGAAGAGAUAAGUGCUGAAAGCAUCUAAGCACGAAACUUGCCCCGA
rnacentral:rRNA from 1 species